GCGGAUCCGCCGCCGCCUCCCCGGGCCUCUCUCUGAUCCCGGAUUCACCGGUGACCAUCUUGACGCUGCCACCCAGAGCAUGCAUAGGUUGAAAAAAAAUUGAAGUGGAAGAGAAAGAAAAAUGAUCACUCCUCCCGUCGCCGGUGACACCUUGGCCGGAGCGUUGCCGCCGCCGCCGCAGAGUCAGGAGGAGGAUGAUCCUCCGUAUUGCUCGGUUGUCCUCGGCGGCACCUUCGACCGCCUCCACGACGGCCACCGUCGCCUCCUCAAGGCGUCCGCGGAUUUGGCGAAGGACCGGAUCGUGGUGGGCGUCUGCACGGGCCCUAUGCUCGCCAAGAAAGAGUACUCUGAAUUGAUCGAGCCCGUCGAAAAGCGCAUGAAGGCUGUGGAGGAUUACAUCAAGUCUGUUAAACCAGAACUAAUAGUACAAGUGGAGCCUAUUGAGGAUCCUUAUGGCCCAUCCAUUAUUGAUGAUCAGUUGGAUGCCAUUAUUGUCAGUAAGGAGACAUUAAAUGGUGGACUUGCCGUAAAUCGGAAAAGAGAAGAGAAAAGACUACCUCUGUUGAAGGUUGAGGUUGUUGAUCUUCUUUCUGGAGGAGCAGAGGGGGAGAAAUUGAGUUCAUCUGCUUUACGGAAGCUUGAGGCAGAGCAAACUAAUCACGGAGAAGGAGCAGCACCUAAAGUAAGGCAGCGGCAAUGAUGGUGGAUGCAUAAGUGGCAUGACCAAGGAGAUAGCGGUAUUGCCGGAGCUGGAGAAGAAGAAAAAGAAGUUUUCGAAGUGAAACAAAAUGUGAGAAAAAGGGGUCCAAAGUGAAAUAAUGUAUAAAGGGGUCCAGAGUGAAAUUUUGGUAACAAGAGGGGGUCCAUGCUGCAAUUCACUGUACUAAAUCCUGAGUGAUCCUCCCCAGGCUUGCUGUCUACAAGUAAUCAAACUGGCAGUUUGGUUACCUUUUUGAGGAAUUAUGUAUAAAACUUGUCCCAGGGCCUUGUAAAAGUACUACUUCAGUCUGAAUGGCGUAGUUGUACAAACUCAAUCUUAGCUCCUGGACAGUUCCCCACUAACCAAUUUUACACACAUUAUGCAUUGCCUACCUUGUUUUGCCAUUUGAAUGUAAAAAGGAAAGUUACCUUGAUGUUCUUUGGAGUAAUGGUAAAUCAACUGUAAAUGAAUGUGCUGCCACUUCUGUGAUGUAUACUUCAUCAGAGCUCAUGCGAUAUAAUUCAUUGCUUCAUUUCUGCUCCAGUGUUGUUCAUGGGCCUCUUCACAUAAACCAGCAUUGAGUACUGGCCUGAUCCUCAGCGAGGAAUCAAGGGAGCCUACAGGGUCCUCGAGCUCGGUGGAGUCGCAUGUUUAACGGACCCUGCUUCUUUGCUUUGCUGACAUGUGGAUGCUACUCCCAAAAGGAAGAAGAGUACACAAUGGUUCCAGAAGGCAGGGUUUGAGGAUGCCAAGCUCAGGAGGAUCAGGCCCAAAUGAAAAUAGUUCCGUGGUGUUCGGAUGGAGUUCAGCACCAUGGCCUGAUGAUGAGAAUAGCUCUCUGACAGGCGUGAAGCCAGCGUCUGGUGAUUCCCCUUUCCAGUUACUGAGGAUGUUGAGAGACCAGUGAACCCUUUCACCUUCAUCUUCCGCUUCAUCACUGGGACGAUGCUAUGUGGGUCAAACAAAGAUCAGCCAAUUCAAGUGUAACUGAUGCCAUGCAAUGUCAGAAAAAUGACGCCGAAAGCUGUGUUGUAUCAGGCUUAUGUUACAUGUUAGAACUAAAAUGUUCAAGUUCUGUUGCACUUGUCUGCUGAUGUUAUGUUUGUCUCUAGUUUGCUUCCUUUGUUACCUUGUUGCUUUAUUCGAAUGAGCCGGUCAAAAUAAUUUCUGGGACAUUUGCAUCAGGAUUUGCUAGAUGGAUUCAUGUCAUAUUUGCACUUAAGGCUUGCAGUUCAGGAAAGAGAUAAUUUACAGGUAACAGCUGACAGCUCUUUUUU